UGGCUUAGAUGGUAAAGCAUCUGCCUGCAAUGCAGGAGACCCAGGUUUGAUGCCUGG
rfam:Ovis aries breed Texel chromosome 1, whole genome shotgun sequence.